GAUGAGAACGCAGCGAAAUGCGAUAAGUAAUGUGAAUUGCAGAAUUCAGUGAAUCAUCGAAUCUUUGAACGCACCUUGCGCUCCUUGGUAUUCCGAGGAGCAUGCCUGUUUGAGUGUCAUGAAAUUCUCAACCUUUCUGGCUUUUGCUAGUCAGGCUUGGAUUAUGGGAGCUGCUGGCUUUUGAAGUCGGCUCUUCUAAAAUGUAUUAGCAAGAUCAUUGCUGCUCAUCAUUGGUAUGAUAAUUAUCUAUAUCAUUGAGAGUCAGUUUCCUUUAUUGGAAGAUUUUGCUCCUAACGUUCUUUAGCAAGACAACAUUUGACGAUUUUGACCUCAAAUCAGGUAGGACUACCCGCUGAACUUAAGCAUAUCAAUAAGCGGAGGA
rnacentral:misc_RNA from 1 species